rnacentral:rRNA from 1 species
UAAGACGUAGGAAGCAAGCGUUGUCCGGAAUUACUGGGCGUAAAGAGCUCGUAGGCGGGAUCGUAAGUCUUAGAGUAAAUCUCACGGCUCAACCGUGGGGCCUUCUGAGAUACUGCGAUUCUUGAGGAUGUCAGAGGAAAGUAGAAUUCCCGGUGUAGCGGUGAAAUGCGUAGAUAUCGGGAGGAAUACCAGUGGCGAAGGCGACUUUCUGGGACAUUCCUGACGCUGAGGAGCGAAAGCGUGGGGAGCAAACGGGAUUAGAUACCCCGGUAGUCCACGCGGUAAACGAUGGAUAUUAGGUGUGGGAGGUAUCGACUCCUUCCGUGCCGUCGCUAACGCAUUAAAUAUCCCGCCUGGGGAGUACGGUCGCAAGGCUGAAACUCAAAUGAAUUGACGG